CACGUAGGGGGCGAGCGUUGUCCGGAUUCAUUGGGCGUAAAGGGCGCGCAGGCGGCCCGGAAAGUCGGAUGUGAAAACUCGAGGCUCAACCUCGAGCGUGCACCCGAUACUGCCGGGCUUGAGGCAGGUAGGGGAGAUCGGAAUUCCUGGUGUAGCGGUGAAAUGCGCAGAUAUCAGGAGGAACACCGGUGGCGAAGGCGGUUCUCUGGGCAUGAUCUGACGCUGAGGAGCGAAAGUGUGGGGAGCGAACAGG
rnacentral:rRNA from 1 species